CUUCUCUCUUCGGCAGCACACAUACUAACAUUGGAAGGAUACCGAGAUUAGCAUGGCCCCUGUGCAAGGGUGACACGCAGAUUCAUGACGCAUUUUGUAUUAAA
ensembl:snRNA U6 U6 spliceosomal RNA